CCUACGGGAGGCAGCAGUGGGGAAUAUUGCACAAUGGGGGAAACCCUGAUGCAGCGACGCCGCGUGAGUGAAGAAGUAAUUCGUUAUGUAAAGCUCUAUCAGCAGGGAAGAAAAUGACGGUACCUGUGUAAGAAGCCCCGGAUAACUACGUGCCAGCAGCCGCGGUAAUACGUAGGGGGCAAGCGUUAUCCGGAUUUACUGGGUGUAAAGGGAGCGUAGACGGCAUGACAAGUCAGGAGUGAAAGGCGGGGGCUCAACCCGCGGAUUGCACUGGAAACUGGACGGCUGGAGUGCAGGAGAGGUAAGUGGAAUUCCUGGUGUAGCGGUGAAUUGCGUAGAUAUUAGGAGGAACACCGGUGGCGAAGGCGGCUUACUAGACUGUAACUGACGUUGAGGCUCGAAAGCGUGGGGAGCAAACAGGAUUAGAUACCCGAGUAGUC
rnacentral:rRNA from 1 species